rnacentral:rRNA from 1 species
AUGGCCGCCGACGCCAACCACAGGAAGGUCGUGGUGAACUUCCAGUCGGUCGCCAACGCGCCGAAGCUGCGGCAGUCCAAGUUCAAGGUGCGGGCACUUUUUUCUCGCCGUUGCUUGCCUCACGCGACCAGCAAGCUCAGAAAUACGCCUCAGAUUGGUGGAAACGAGAAAUUUGCGAGGGUGAUUGAAUUUCUUCGCUGCCAAAUUCACCAGGACACAGUGUUUCUCUACGUGAAUAGUGCAUUUUCCCCGAAUCCAGACGAGUUGAUAUCUGAUUUAUACAAUGUAAGAUCCAAUACUCUCACUACUUUUAUAUGCCCUCUUCAGUCUUAA